AAUACAUGCAAGUAGAACGNCUGAAGAGAGGAGCUUGCUCUUCUUGGUAUGAGUUGCGAACGGGUGAGUAACGCGUAGGUAACCUGCCUGGUAGCGGGGGAUAACUAUUGGAAACGAUAGCUAAUACCGCAUAAAAUGGAUUAUUGCAUGAUAGUCAAUUGAAAGGUGCAACUGCACCACUACCAGAUGGACCUGCGUUGUAUUAGCUAGUUGGUGGGGUAACGGCUCACCAAGGCGACGAUACAUAGCCGACCUGAGAGGGUGAUCGGCCACACUGGGACUGAGACACGGCCCAGACUCCUACGGGAGGCAGCAGUAGGGAAUCUUCGGCAAUGGACGGAAGUCUGACCGAGCAACGCCGCGUGAGUGAAGAAGGUUUUCGGAUCGUAAAGCUCUGUUGUAAGAGAAGAACGAGUGUGAGAGUGGAAAGUUCACACUGUGACGGUAUCUUACCAGAAAGGGACGGCUAACUACGUGCCAGCAGCCGCGGUAAUACGUAGGUCCCGAGCGUUGUCCGGAUUUAUUGGGCGUAAAGCGAGCGCAGGCGGUUAGAUAAGUCUGAAGUUAAAGGCUGUGGCUUAACCAUAGUACGCUUUGGAAACUGUUUAACUUGAGUGCAAGAGGGGAGAGUGGAAUUCCAUGUGUAGCGGUGAAAUGCG
rnacentral:rRNA from 1 species